AGAACUGCUGCUCUAGAUCCAUCCAUGUUGUUGCAAAUGGGCUGACAGUGUCACAGUCUGGCAUGGCUGGAAUUUCUGACAUUACACCAAGAAGCAGACCGAGAGCAGGAGAGCGGGCGGAGAGGACCAGCGUCAGGAUGCGCAGCCAUUUAAAGAAGUCAAGGCAAAAAAGAAGCCCAACCUUCUCCUCUGAGGUUCCUCGAUUACAAGGCAACUUAUAAAUCAUCCCGUAUUGUUCUCAUUUAUCCAACGAGUCCGUUUUCCUACUCCUGUGGAGAUCCCUAAGCUCCCCCACAACUGAUUCAAGAUGUCAUCCAUAGAAACAGCAAUAUAAAGAGAAACAGAUGUAGAAAGAAAUCAUAAUAGGAAGUAUUUAUUGAGGGCCUAUUAUGUGAAGCUCCACUGUGUCAACAUUUAACUCCUGCAACGACCUUGCGAGAAAAAUUCAGAUUUUCAACUUACACCUGGACCAUGAAGACUGCUUCUCAGGGAGGAAGGCAUCAACCAUUGCUCCAUCACGAGCUGCUCUGAGAUUCAGAGG